AGCUCAAAUUUGAAAUCUGGCUCUUUCAGGGUCCGAGUUGUAAUUUAGAGAAGUGUUACCCGCGCUGAACCGUAUAUAAGUCCUUUGGAAUGAGGCGUCAUAGAGGGUGAGAAUCCCGUCUUUGAUACGGACUGCCAGUGCUUUUGUGGUAUGCUCUCAAA
rnacentral:rRNA from 1 species